CAGUGAGAGUGGGCUGUGUGUUUGUAGGAUGAUAUACUGCAAAUGACAGGAAGAAUUAUCCUAGGCCACAUGGAGUCCACAAAGAAGAGCUGUGCUAUAGACUUGAAAGAGACAAGAUCUUUUAUAUGGGUUCAGUGGUCAACUCAUCUCUGAACAGCAUGGUCUGGUUGAGGAAAGGGGAUUCAAGGGACUCCUCACUCCUCCUCCUGGAUCACUUGUGUCUGCUCCCAUAAGCACCAGCAUUUACCUAGCACCCAAGCCUAUUAAAUGCAAUUGCUUAAAACAUGAA